rnacentral:rRNA from 1 species
AGUGAACGCUGGCGGUAGGCCUAACACAUGCAAGUCGAACGGCAGCACAGUAAGAGCUUGCUCUUACGGGUGGCGAGUGGCGGACGGGUGAGGAAUACAUCGGAAUCUACUUUUUCGUGGGGGAUAACGUAGGGAAACUUACGCUAAUACCGCAUACGACCUACGGGUGAAAGCAGUGGAUCUUCGGACCUUGCGCGAUUGAAUGAGCCGAUGUCGGAUUAGCUAGUUGGCGGGGUAAAGGCCCACCAAGGCGACGAUCCGUAGCUGGUCUGAGAGGAUGAUCAGCAACACUGGAACUGAGACACGGCCCAGACUCCUAGGGGAGGCAGCAGUGGGGAAUAUUGGACAAUGGGCGCAAGCCUGAGCCAGCCAUACGGCGUGGGGGAAGAAGGCCUUCGGGUUGUAAAGCCCUUUUGUUGGGAAAGAAAAGCAGCAGGUUAAUACCCCGCUGUUCUGACGGUACCAAAAGAAUAAGCACCGGCUAACUUCGU